GUGCGCACCCAGGAUCCGAACCCGCGAACCCCAGGCCGCCGAAAAGUGGAAUGUGCGAAUUUAA